UUUAAAAUGAGAGUUUGAUCCUGGCUCAGGACGAACGCUGGCGGCGUGCCUAAUACAUGCAAGUCGAACGAAACUUUCUUACACCGAAUGCUUGCAUUCACCGUAAGAAGUUGAGUGGCGGACGGGUGAGUAACACGUGGGUAACCUGCCUAAAAGAAGGGG
rnacentral:rRNA from 1 species